AAUAAAUAAUGCGCUUCGGUGCGAUGUGGUCCGUGCGAGUGCAUUGUGCAUGGGGCUGAAAAUGAGCCAGUCAGACUGGACGGUCUGGCAGUGUGCUAGGGACGUAAGGGGUGUGAGAGUGGGAGGUGUUGAGGUGGGCGUGGAUGCGACUACAGUGCAUUUUUCACUGUGCAAACACGCUGCACACAACACCACCCCCUCGCAUGCUCACUGUCUUGUCGCUGCCGGCGCCAACCAGCCCAUCAACAUUAACA
rnacentral:misc_RNA from 1 species